rnacentral:rRNA from 1 species
GUAGGGGGCGAGCGUUGUCCGGAUUCAUUGGGCGUAAAGAGCUCGUAGGCGGCUCAGUAAGUCGGGUGUGAAACCCUCAGGCUCAACCUGGGGACGCCACUCGAUACUGCUGUGGCUAGAGUCCAGUAGGGGAGUGUGGAAUUCCCGGUGUAGCGGUGAAAUGCGCAGAUAUCGGGAGGAACACCAGCGGCGAAGGCGGCACUCUGGGCUGGUACUGACGCUGAGGAGCGAAAGCGUGGGUAGCAAACAGGAUUAGAUACCCUGGUAGUCCACGCCGUAAACGUUGGGCACUAGGUGUGGGACCCCUCCAACGGGUUCCGUGCCGUAGCUAACGCAUUAAGUGCCCCGCCUGGGGAGUACGGCCGCAAGGCUAAA